AGCUUUGCGCUGUGGCAGUAUCGUAGCCAAUGAGGUUUAUCCGAGGCGCGAUUAUUGCUAAUUGAAAAGGAAGGGUGUUCAGGCCCGGGGCCCCAUGCUGCAGGGGUGGGGUGUGCACACUAGGAAUCAAAUCUUCCAGCUGAGCCAUUUCCAGUCUCAUCCCUGUUGUCCAGAUG
rnacentral:snRNA from 13 species